rnacentral:rRNA from 1 species
GACGGAGGAUGCAAGCGUUAUCCGGAAUGAUUGGGCGUAAAGCGUCCGCAGGUGGCAGUUCAAGUCUGCUGUCAAAGACCGGGGCUUAAUUUCGGAAAGGCAGUGGAAACUGAACAGCUAGAGUAUGGUAGGGGCAGAGGGAAUUCCUGGUGUAGCGGUGAAAUGCGUAGAGAUCAGGAAGAACACCGGUGGCGAAAGCGUUCUGCUAGACCUGUACUGACACUGAGGGACGAAAGCUAGGGGAGCGAAUGGG